rnacentral:lncRNA from 1 species
GUUUAGCAAUGUUUCCUGUUCCCAUUUUUUCCUCUCACAAAACACUACAAUUUUGAAGUUUAGACUCGUAUAGCAAGUAUGAAUUAGUGGAUACUGUGUCAGAAUGAGAUUGCCUGCAGUGACAUUGUCAUCUUUAUUUUGGUCUCUGGCCGCGUGGCCAGGAUACCCAUCUGAUGCCCAAUCACCAAAGAGCAGCAAGCUACGACUGGUGGAUGACGGCGAUGCCAUGGCCUGUUCUGGCCUGCUGGAGCUGAAAUAUCAACAGAGAUGGCAGUACCUAUGUGCUAUAAACUGGAGUGAGGCCAUGACCCUGCUGGCCUGUAGUGGCAUCGAGUGCGGGAAGCCUGUCUCUCACUACUUCACCAGCAGUGGUACUCCCUUCACUGGGCUGGGGCUCUCCUGUCAGGGCCAGGAGACGUCACUGCUCCACUGUGCCAAGAAGAGGAAAUCUUGUAUCACCAGAGUGGCCGUUGUGUGCGGGACAGGUAACUCAGGAGUUACCGAACAGCAGCAAUACACCACGGUGACCGAAUCGCCUUCCCCCGUCGCCAUUGCUGGGCUCUUACCUUGGCUGCGCACCGUUCUCCUGCUUUGCGGACUGGCUGCCAUGGUGCUUUCUGUCAUUGCUGUGGAGAUACUGGCCAGGAGACGCAGAGGUAGAUGACUCCUUUCACAGCGAGCACAGUGAGGACACGUGGGGAACGAGCGCUCCAGAUUCCACCGCACUGUAACUGUCACUGCAGGAAACAGCUGGAAAAGAGGAGAAAAGCUCAGAAAAACAUCUGGACAUUAUUAUUAUUAUUGCUAAAGAAAUUGCUGAGUUGAAACAGGACAUUUAUGUAUUGUCUAUGUAGAAUUUUGUAAUAUUUGUAAUUAAUGGAUGAGUAAAAUAAUGUAAUCAAACAGCUUUAUAUCUCAUUACAUUUUUUUCCAAGCCCAC